UUAGAGUUUGAUCCUGGCUCAGAUUGAACGCUGGCGGCAUGCCUUACACAUGCAAGUCGAACGGUAACAGGGAGCUUGCUCCGCUGACGAGUGGCGAACGGGUGAGUAAUAUAUCGGAACAUACCCUAGAGUGGGGGAUAACGUAGCGAAAGUUACGCUAAUACCGCAUACGAACUAAGGUUGAAAGUGGGGGCUCGCAAGACCUCAUGCUCAUGGAGUGGCCGAUAUCUGAUUAGCUAGUUGGUGAGGUAAAGGCUCACCAAGGCGACGAUCAGUAGCUGGUUUGAGAGAACGACCAGCCACACUGGAACUGAGACACGGUCCAGACUCCUACGGGAGGCAGCAGUGGGGAAUUUUGGACAAUGGGGGCAACCCUGAUCCAGCAAUGCCGCGUGAGUGAAGAAGGCCUUCGGGUUGUAAAGCUCUUUUGUCAGGGAAGAAACGGUGAGGUCUAAUACACUUUACUAAUGACGGUACCUGAAGAAUAAGCACCGGCUAACUACGUGCCAGCAGCCGCGGUAAUACGUAGGGUGCAAGCGUUAAUCGGAAUUACUGGGCGUAAAGCGUGCGCAGGCGGUUAUAUAAGUCAGAUGUGAAAUCCCCGGGCUCAACCUGGGAACUGCAUUUGAGACUGUAUGGCUAGAGUGUGUCAGAGGGGGGUAGAAUUCCACGUGUAGCAGUGAAAUGCGUAGAUAUGUGGAGGAAUACCGAUGGCGAAGGCAGCCCCCUGGGAUAACACUGACGCUCAUGCACGAAAGCGUGGGGAGCAAACAGGAUUAGAUACCCUGGUAGUCCACGCCCUAAACGAUGUCUACUAGUUGUUGGGUCUUAAUUGACUUAGUAACGCAGCUAACGCGUGAAGUAGACCGCCUGGGGAGUACGGUCGCAAGAUUAAAACUCAAAGGAAUUGACGGGGACCCGCACAAGCGGUGGAUGAUGUGGAUUAAUUCGAUGCACCGCGAAAAACCUUACCUACCCUUGACAUGUACAGAAUGCCGAAGAAAUUUGGCGGUGCUCGCAAGAGACUGUAACCAAGUGCUGCAUGCUGUCGUCAGUCGUGUCUGAAAUGUUGGGUUAGUCCCGCACGAGCGCACCCUUGUCUUAGUUGUACUUAAGUUGAGCCUCCAAUGAACUGCCGUGACAACCGGAGGAAGUGGGGAUGAGUCCAGUCUCAUGGCCC
rnacentral:rRNA from 1 species